CAAAUGUAUGUUGACGUAUUCUGAAAGGGAUACGUUCUUCGGACAAUAUACAAGGUGCUGCAUGGUUGUCGUCAGCUCGUGCCGUGAGGUGUCGGGUUAAGUCCCAUAACGAGCGCCAACCCCUAUCAUUAGUUGCCAUCAGGUCAAGCUGGGGACUCUAAUGAAACUGCCUACGCAAGUAGUGAGGAAGGCGGGGAUGACGUCAAAUCAGCACGGCCCUUACGUCCAGGGCUACACACGUGCUACAAUGGCCGAUACAGAGGGCAGCUACCUGGUGACAGGAUGCAAAUCUCCAAAGUCGGUCUCAGUUCGGAUCGGAGUCUGCAACCCGACUCCGUGAAGUUGGAUUCGCUAGUAAUCGCGCAUCAGCCAUGGCGCGGUGAAUACGUUCCCGGGCCUU
rnacentral:rRNA from 1 species